CUUUCCUACUUGGCGCAGCAGUGGGGAAUAUUGGGCAAUGGGCGCAAGCCUGACCCAGCAACGCCGCGUGAAGGAAGAAGGCUUUCGGGUUGUAAACUUCUUUUAUCAGGGACGAAGCAAGUGACGGUACCUGAUGAAUAAGCCACGGCUAACUACGUGCCAGCAGCCGCGGUAAUACGUAGGUGGCAAGCGUUAUCCGGAUUUACUGGGUGUAAAGGGCGUGUAGGCGGGAGUGCAAGUCAGAUGUGAAAACUAUGGGCUCAACCCAUAGCCUGCAUUUGAAACU
rnacentral:rRNA from 1 species